UCAGCUUGGUACGGGCCGUAACGCACAGCGACAUCUAGCGGCCACCUGAGGGGAAACAGUGAACUUCUGAAAGACAGCAACACCUACAGGCCGCCUGCAGAAAAACAUCACCUGUAACCCUCAGAGCUUUUUGAUGCGUGUAUGUACCAGCAGGUGCAUUGAGCAUUCAGCCUUCAUACGAUGAUGAUGAAUGGUGGGAGAAUGCAAAGAAUAACUAUUAUAAAAAAAAUCUCCGGCCCAGUGUGAUAAUGCUUGGUGGAGCAGCCAUACCUGCAGUAGGACUGGUGUCACUCACAGGUUGAUCCUGGAGCUCUACAUUGCGGUAUAAUCAAAGUCCCUAAAGGCUUCCGCAAUCUCCUUUUCCAUUUCCAAGGAACCCUCAGAGGGAGGAGUUAGAACUAGAUGUUGAUCUCCAUCCUCGGAAAGUCUAACAUCCUCAGCAUCUCGUAUAUUACAAUGCCCAGAGACCACCAGUCGACAGAUCUUGAGUAUGGCUCCCUGGCGAGGACUUCUGGCGCCAUGUAGCCAAACGAUCCUUUCAGGCUACUUGUUCGGCCUUCGUAGCCAAUUCCUGAAAAAAUCAGUUAUUGUAACUCUUUAAGCAGCCGCCAGCAACGUACUCCAUCAGAAAGAAUAGAUGGUAUUCUGACUGGAAGGUGGCGUGGAUAUCCACAAUGAAAGGGUGGUCAGCAACGGCGAAAGCAACCCGUUUCUCUAGCAAGAUCCUGAAUAUUAAAAACAUUCAUUGUCAAAACAAGGGACAUGGAUUUUCAGGGCAUAGGAUCUUUUGGUUGCCGCGUGUUCAACAAGGAGAACCUGGAAUAAGAAAGAAUCUCAGGAAAUGCAGGAAGAUACAUGCAGAACAUCCAUACCCCUUUCAGAGAACUGCAAGAAUCGAUCCAUACUUGCCCCCAGCAUUGCAAGGUUGCAUCUUACUGUGGGUCCUUUGUCACUGCCCGUGGACAUCCUUCUGCUGCAUCAGGUGGAGUUGGGCUGAUGUUUUCUUCAUCCACAGAUAUCUCACUAUAAGGAAAGAUCUCUAAUCGUCAGGCAUGAAGCGACAGCUUGAUAUUUCCAUCUGCCUUACCUCAGAAUGCCGGGGCCGACGCAAGAUGCCAGAAUGUCCGGCACCCAUCUUGACGCUCCUGUAUGAGAAAAAAAAGAAAGUCAAAUUUUCCCAAUAAUCCUCGGCGACAAAGAAGACGAUUAAUCAAGAACUGAGACUGACGUCUAUAAAUAAACAGCAACCAUCCAAUUUCAUUUUUGGGUAUCUUGAUGCAGCAUGCACGCAGACUGUCUGGUUCAAAACUGCCUGUUCUGAAAAGUCUGAGAUUCACAUGCAUUUUGGCCAACCAUGGACUCCUGAACGCAGGUCUGGACUGGGAUUCAAAGUAGGCCUGCCAUUGCAAGUACACAGAGGCCCAACCAGCCCCCCACAGGCCUAAUAAAUAGUCAGUGUCUAUGGCAUCUUACAGCAGCCACUCUGGCAUUUGCCAGAACUCACAGAUUUCCAGUCAGGGCCUGCCUGCACGUCACUGGUUCGUCCCGAUAACAUCAACUCAGCCUCCAGUCACCCACUUCACCCCCCUGGCCACAGAAUCCAACAUUCAAAGGUGGCAAACCUACUUCAAAUACAAUAUCUAGAUCCUAGAUAGGUCCUUAGAUUUACAAGUUUGUAGUUUUCCCAUACAUGGCUGGAGCAGGUUUCUGCUGUUGAUCGCAAAAUCAGUCAGUAGCAUUCACACUGGAGCCAAUUGACUUCCAGUAUCCAGGCUCAUCCUUGCUACUCAAUGGCUGGGAGCCCAUACAACAUAUUUGAGGCAGCCAGCAACCCCACUGUGCUACUCUGUUUUCUGAAGCCUGGUUAGGGAAGUCAAUGGGACCCUUUGCAUGGGAGGGUGAACAGUUUUAUAAAAGGUUCAUGGGCAGCUUUGUUUGCCUAUAAAGUAUGUAUGACUUUCUGUGGCUCUUCACCUGGGACAAAAGCGUCUCUCUUCUAAUUGGGCUAAAAUAACCAUCACCCUAAAGAAUUUUUUCAAAUUCACUCUCCAACCCACCGUUGGAGAAGAUAAAUUAAUUUGUUCCAGAGCCCACUGACACUAUAAACAAUCGUCCAGAUAUGGAAUUCCCAUAAUACCUUCCAAACGUAGCACUGCACCUAUGGACACCCUGGCAAAAACUCUAAACACAAACUGGGAAUAUUUGAGCUCCUGACCAAUUGGAACAGUUAUAAUGAAAACCAUAUUGUGAUCUGAAAACAUCUUAAGGCUUGAGAUCAAAUAGUUAUAAAACGGUUUCCAAAUUUUCGAAUCAGUGACUGAUUGUGAAACUAUAAAAGCAAUGAUGCAAUAGGUUCUUUUUAACCCUUAAUGUGAAGGUACCUCUUGUAUGACUCAUAGGAAUUCCAAAAUAGCAUUUUCCAAAAAAAAACACUUGGACGUUUUACUCCUGAGACUUUAAAGAAAGCCAGAACUUGGUAGACAAAAUAAUUUUAAUCCUUUUCUAAAGUGCCUAUUUCUGUUCAUUACUAAAGUAUGACAAGCUUUCUCUAACUCCCAGUCUAGCACCAUACCUCAGGGUUUAUAGGAUUGAGACCUUCCCUAGGAAUAGUUUAAUCACCGCUUGAUUGUAACCUAAAGCUCAGGGUUUAUUCGGCCUUUCUUCCCUUUGUCUGGACCGAGAUGGAGAUCUACUGUGAAAAACCAAGUUCUUCUAUUUUGGCAGUUUAUUUUGUAGAGCAUUCUUUCCAUAAUCCUUGAACAGUUUCUCUAUUAGACCAUCUACUUGCUUACCAAAUGGAUGUCCUGGUUUUAAUUCUAUGUAAUAGAUAAGUAAAAUCAGAGGCCCAUGACUUUAGCCAGUUAGCUCUUCUGGCUGUAAUAGAUAGACCCAUGAUUAUAGAUGGUAAUCCAAAUAUCAGUUUAAUGAUAUCUCUGAAGAGAUUUUACCCUCUCUGUAGUCAGCUCCAGUUGCAACAGUCACAGUCUCAAUCCCUUUAAAGUUAGGCUGAGGUGACAACUGCGUUGUGCUGCACUGCUCCUUCUAAAUAGGCACUUCUCAAAUCUGCUUCCAUUUUUCCAAAUGGUUUAAGUAACUGAUCAGAUGUUUAUCAAGUGCACAGUAAAAGCUUCAGAAUUCUGUUCUCAUAAAGUUCCGCUAUUUGAGAAGACAUUUCCACCCCAUUCUUUACUGCACUAAUUCAAAGCUUCGUCAUAUUCAGAUGGGGACAAACCUAAGAAAUCUAUCUCCAUUAUACUUAAAAAAAUGUGUACCGUUUUUAUAAUAAACCUGACUGCAGUGAAAU